rnacentral:piRNA from 1 species
UCUGAGCAACAUCCAUGUGUGG